AGUUCUGUAGCUUAGUGGUUAAAGCACUCACCUCUUAAGCGAGAGGACCUGGGUUUGAUUCCCGGCAGGACUU
rnacentral:tRNA from 1 species